rnacentral:rRNA from 1 species
CCUACGGGAGGCAGCAGUGGGGAAUAUUGCGCAAUGGGCGAAAGCCUGACGCAGCGACGCAGCGUGAGGGACGAAGGCCUUCGGGUUGUAAACCUCUUUCAGCGGGGACGAAGCGAAAGUGACGGUACCCGCAGAAGAAGCACCGGCUAACUACGUGCCAGCAGCCGCGGUAAUACGUAGGGUGCAAGCAUUGUCCGGAUUUAUUGGGCGUAAAGAGCUCGUAGGCGGCUUGUCACGUCGGAUGUGAAAACUCGGGGCUCAACCCCGAGCCUGCAUUCGAUACGGGCUAGCUAGAGUGUUGCAGGGGAGACUGGAAUUCCUGGUGUAGCGGUGAAAUGCGCAGAUAUCAGGAGGAACACCGGUGGCGAAGGCGGGUCUCUGGGCAACUACUGACGCCGAGGAGCGAAAGCGUGGGGAGCGAACAGGAUUAGAUACCCUGGUAGUCCACGCCGUAAACGGUGGGCGCUAGGUGUGGGGAACCUUCCACGUUCUCUGUGCCGUAGCUAACGCAUUAAGCGCCCCGCCUGGGGAGUACGGCCGCAAGGCUAAAACUCAAAGGAAUUGACGG